UAUUAUUAUUAUAAAGAAGCCUUUGAAUUGCGUGAAAUUUAUCUUCUUCCUCCACUCAUCACGCAAACCCUAGUCGCACGUCGCCACCCUCCUCCUGUAAUCUUCUCCAUUUGUUUUCUUCGUUCGCUGCUUGCUCAAACGGAGACGAGAACUGCCGCCCAACCGAGAACAAUCAUUUGUGCUGCAUUUUACACUAAGUUGCCCGAACCCCAACUCGUCCCACUUCAUUUGUUCCAUAUGUGUCCCUCCAUGCUCUGUUCUCCGUCGCGACCUCACCGUUGAAGGGUGCCACUACUGCUAACUGUCGUUCGCUGGCCACGCCUCUCCGUCGAGCUUGGACGAAGCCCCAUCGUCCACCGCACACCCGGCAGUCGAGGCCCUCUCUAAGCCGCACGCAUCCCUCUUCACCAAAACGUGUGAGUCGCGUUCUUCACCCCAAUUGACGACUCCCUGCUCCCAGCCGACCUCUCUUUCUUGAGCCAUUUACAUGCCGCUUCUUUGUAGUCAACCAAGUUGACUUUCGUUGGAGGAAUUGAGCGGUACAUUUUGUCCCGUUCAAGGUUGUGUUUGGAUUCAACCUCAGCUUGAGUAAGUUUGGGUUUUGGGCACUUAAGGAAAGUAAAUGAGAUGGUUAGUUGUCAAAAUUAAUAAUGUUGGGUUUACUGUAAGGAAGAGACUAUAUUUUAGCUAAUCUCCAGGUAAGAGGUUUUUCUAUUAGAACCCACCUUGAAACUACACAUAUGUUUAGUAGUGUAGCUAAGGGAGAUAUAAUAUGACUAUUUGAGAUGACUUUAUAAAUGGUUACUUCGAUAACCAUAUUAUGAUUGAGAUACAAUAUAAUUGAGGCAUACUAUAAUUAAAUAUACUAUGUUUGAGUUA